rnacentral:misc_RNA from 1 species
CCAAAAGAUAAUCUUUCAACAUCUGAAAGAUCUUACCUUUGUGCUGGCUUUGACAGUUUUGUACUUUUGGGGCUUUAAAAUGGUUCAGUUAGUAAAGGAGGGGAGUAAUCCCUUUUCAUUGCUGCUGGGUCGGCCCCAAAAAAUCAUAUCAUCCUUAUAAUUUUUUCUGAUUAAUUAACACAUGAUUUUAAUAAUCUGUUUAAAA